rnacentral:rRNA from 1 species
UACGGAGGGUGCAAGCGUUAUCCGGAUUCACUGGGUUUAAAGGGUGCGUAGGCGGGCAGGUAAGUCAGUGGUGAAAUCUCCGGGCUUAACCCGGAACUGCCGUUGAUACUAUCUGUCUUGAAUAUCGUGGAGGUAAGCGGAAUAUGUCAUGUAGCGGUGAAAUGCUUAGAUAUGACAUAGAACACCCAUUGCGAAGGCAGCUUACUACACGAUCAUUGACGCUGAGGCACGAAAGCGUGGGGAGCAAACAAG